rnacentral:lncRNA from 1 species
CCUUAAAAGAGAAAAUGGUGUGAGUGCCGAGAGGGUGGCAUUCACGGUGGCCGGCCCUUUAUGCCGACGCUGAGAUCCUCCGCUUAGGUUUAACGGUGAACGGUGGCCAAAGCACGCUGAGGUCUCGAGCGGCGUUUCUCUCUGCCAAUGGCGGAGCUUCUCCAAGGCUUGCGAUGGUGCGGGCACGCGGUAACCGAAGGCGAAACGCUCGUUCGAACUUCC